AUUGUGAGUACAACUCAGCAGUGAUUUAUUUGUGUUCUUGUUUAUUAUUUAAAAAUAUGUAGACCAACCUUCAUGUGUACUGCUAGCAGGCACGCCAUAAAACCAUCCUACCCAGGGCUGCAUGCCAGUGGUAAGUGGGAGGCAGAGGCAGAGGGGAAUAGAACAGUCAAUGUGACUCCCGUCUUUGUACAGCUAUGCAAAAGUCAGAGGUCUUUAGUGGCCCCCUUUAAAUCCACUUAAGCAAGAAUGUUCAAGGAAACAUUCCAACCAGGCAAAAUCACUUGAGUGUGUAGUGUACAGCUGGAGAGGAGUAUGACCUGGAGAGAGUCCACUGUUGUUGUUUAGUCGUUUAGUCGUGUCCGACUCUUCGUGACCCCAUGGACCAGAGCACGCCAGGCACUCCUGUCUUCCACUGCCUCCUGCAGUUUGGUCAAACUCAUGCUGGUAGCUUCGAGAACACUGUCCAACCAUCUCGUCCUCUGUCAUCCCCUUCUCCUUGUGCCCUCCAUCUUUCCCAACAUCAGGGUCUUUUCCAGGGAGUUUUCUCUUCUCAUGAGUCCACUAGGCUGCAUUUAACUCAUGGGCUGGACGUUCCCCCACCCCUUUCAUGAAACCCAAGGGUUUUAUUCAGCAUUAGCUAUAUUCAGAGUAGACCUAAUGAAUCAGUAGAUAUGGUAACUCAAAUCCAUUGAUUUUGAGAGGCCUACUCAAUGAAGUAUUUGAAUAUUACUCCAAUUAUUAAAGACGUAAAAAGCUGAACAGAGGAGAAGGCUAAAAUACUAGCUUCACACUUUGUUUUAUUUUUAGAAAACAACCUUAAAAGCUUGAGGGCACUUAGAGGGCUAAUACCUUCACAGCACUGAUAGUCAUCCUUAAAACAAUAUUUUAACUGUGUGGUGUGUGAAGAAAUGCAUGUUUCUGUCUAUUGUGAACCUCCCACUAUUCAGUCUCAUCUGCAGGGGCAUGCCUGUGUCAGAAAGGAGUGAUAGCUCAUUUAAGAUGGUGCUUGCUUUCUGUACUUGUACAUGUUUUAAAAGUAUUAAUUUUUUUAACAAACAAACAAACCCUGCCAUCUGAUUGAAUCAUAGAAUCAUAGAAUCAUAGAAUUAUAGAGUUGGAAGAGACCACAAGGGCCAUCAAGUCCAACCCCCUGCCAAGCAGGAAACACCAUCAGAGCACUCCUGACAUAUGGUUGUCAAGCCUCUGCUUAAAGACCUCCAAAGAAGGAGACUCCACCACACUCCUUGGCAGCAAAUUCCACUGUCGAACAGCUCUUACUGUCAGGAAGUUCUUCCUAAUGUUUAGGUGGAAUCUUCUUUCUUGUAGUUUGGAUCCAUUGCUCCGUGUCCGCUUCUCUGGAGCAGCAGAAAGCAACCUUUCUCCUUCCUCUAUGUGACAUCCUUUUAUAUAUUUGAACAUGGCUAUCAUAUCACCCCUUAACCUCCUCUUCCCCAGGCUAAACAUGCCCAGCUCCCUUAGCCGUUCCUCAUAAGGCAUCGUUUCCAGGCCUUUGACCAUUUUGGUUGCCCUCCUCUGGACACGUUCCAGUUUGUCAGUGUCCUUCUUGAACUGUGGUGCCCAGAACUGGACACAGUACUCCAGGUGAGGUCUGACCAGAGCAGAAUACAGUGGCACUAUUACUUCCCUUGAUCUAGAUGCUAUACUCCUAUUGAUGCAGCCCAGAAUUGCAUUGGCUUUUUAGCUGCCGCGUCACACUGUUGGCUCAUGUCAAGUUUGUGGUCAACCAAGACUCCUAGAUCCUUUUCACAUGUACUGCUCUCAAGCCAGGUGUCACCCAUCUUGUAUUUGUGCCUCUCAUUUUUUUUUGCCCAAGUGCAAUACUUUACAUUUCUCCCUGUUAAAAUUCAUCUUGUUUGUUUUUGCCCAGUUCUCUAAUCUGUCAAGGUUGUUUUGAAGUGUGAUCCUAUCCUCUGGGGUGUUAGCCAUCCCUCCCAAUUUUUUAUUUGUUUAUUUCACAAAAUUUAUUUACCGCUUGAUUGCAAUAAAACCUCCAGGUGGCUUACAAGAUAAACCUCUAAGCAGCUUACAAGAAACAAGAUCGGUCUUAUUUUCUUACGUUGUGUAAACCAUGUAACCUAUUGCGACUCUAAAGUCAGAUUUAUUGUGGGGCAGAAGGGAGAUCAAAGCAAAUGGCUAAAGAGCCCUUUAACUUUGCUCCUUAUCACUGCAUUUCAAAUACAUGAUUGCCCUCUGCUGGAAGGAUUUUUAAAAGUUCUCCUUUUAAAAUCACAUCUAUUGGUUCAGUAAAAAAUCAAAGAAAGAAAGAACUUGUACAUUUGGGCAUUCUGAUGCGAAUAAAAAGUAUGCAGGUGUACAAGAUGGUUCCCAUAUAUGCAUAUUUGUGUAUGUGCCAGAUGUUCACAUCUGAACAUGCCUGAUACUGCUGGCUUUAAGUGGUGGGUCCACUACAGCAGCAAAAUGGUUAAAGAGGUGAAGCUUUGCCAUGUCUGAGGAACAGAGUUCAAUCUAUAUAACUUGUCACUAACCACCUUGAGCAAAUUUGGAAAAUGGGGUUGCAGCCAUUGAAAACAAAUAUACACAAGGGCUUUCCUAUGUGAUCAACUGAAGUGCAUGCCAAAUGCAUUUUUUCCUGAUUGGCAGAAUGUCCUCACAACCCUGCUCAGAGAAUGCAUUGCCACUGUAAACAGAUAAAAGGGCGUAUGCAACUUAGGCAACAAGCCAAAGGCACAGCCUUAUUUUCCUUUCUCUUUUUUUAAGCACGACAGUAGGCAGGCAGGCACCUCUUUGUGCUAUGUUCAGUACAUUUGCUAUAGUGAUGCUGAACAAUUUCCCUAGUCUUCACCUUAGGACUUGUCAGCUUCAGAGCUGGUGUUGUACAGCACAGGAGCACACUGCCUCCAAAUAAUUUGUAAGGUGGCUAAAAGAAAGAGUCAUAUAACACAGCAUAAGAAAGCCUUGGUGAAGUGAGGACAUUGGGCAGAGUACAGUGGCUGCUUCAGGCAGGUUGUUUCAGGAGUCAUGAAAGAGCCAUGGAGAUUUGCUCAUUCUUCUUGUAUUUUUACUUCCAGGUAAAGGGGAAAGUGCUUGUGGGAUUGUCUACCUCUGGUCCCAAAAUAGCUCGGCUUGCCUUGAGUUCUAAGCAUCAUAAUGGGAUGGGAGUGCCUUUUGCUGUUCCACCUCAGGCAGCAAAAUGUCUUGGGCAGCCCUUGGCACCAGCCACAUGUCAUAUGAUAACCGUAAGGGCAGCCACAUUCCACAAAGCAGCAAAGCAAACUUGGAUGACUUUAAAAGCGGAUUCAUAGAGGAUAUUCUAUCAAAGGCUGCAAGUCAUGGUGGCUGUUGUCAGGAGUGCCUGCAGGAGCCAGGCCCUGUGACCAGUAGGGCUUCGCAGGACUGGGGCCUUCCUAAGUUUAUUCUGGAGAGGCAAGGCGUGACUGCACAGGUGAGGCCGUUUGGUAACUCACUGCACCUGGUGGCAAGAGCCAGGAAGGGAUAUAAGGUCAGCAUUUCCCUUCAGCUCUUUGCCACAGCAACACGCUUCCUGCCUUGUUGCGUUUGGCUUCUUGCUUCCUGAUCCUCGGACCUCGGCUUAGUGACUCCUUGCUUCUCGACCCUUGGACCCUUGACUUCGUGACUUCUUGCUUCUCAAUCCUUGGACCCUUGACAUUGUGACUCCCUGCUUUCUGACCCUCAAACCCCUGGUUUCUGGACUCUCGUUCCUGCUCCCACCCUGCCAUCUUGCCCCCGGUCCCAACGUCCUCAGCCGAGACUUCAAUCGCCUGUAGACUGGACCAUGACAGCUGUGUUCUGACUCCAGUAUCGCAUACCAGUUGCUGAGUGCAGAGAGUGCUAUUCUGCUCAUGAUCUUCUUCCAGGAUUCCCAUAGGCAUCUGGUUAGCCAUUGUGGCAAGCAAAUAUGGGACAAGAUAGGCCUUUGGUCUAAUCCAGCAGAACUCUUAUGUUCUUAAGACAGCAUUAUCUAAUCAAAGGCUUACUUUCCCCCGCAGCAACAAAAUAUUCUCAUUCAAGUUCUCUGAGAGUCACAGUUUAAACAUCGCGACAUCCCCACACCCCACUAGCCAAAAAACAAGAUGUCUCAUCUCACUGCCAUUUAACAAUCAAGUUCUGAAACUGUUGGAGGGCACAUUCUUUUUUUUUAAAAAAAGACCAGUUAUUCAAGCAGGAACAUGCAAAUUUGUUCUGAAUGUGUAUUUGUAAUUAUUGUGAUUGCAGACAAAGCUAUGUUAUUCCAAGUGCAAAUGACCAAUUAAGUCCAUAAUUGGCCCUUUGCAUGUGAACUGCUUAACUCGAGAGCAAAGCAGUAGUAACUGUGCAUGCAAAUCAAGCAAUCCACUGUGACGGGCUACGUUUAAAGCUCAGGCCUUCUUCCAUGGUGGAAAAUUACAAAGCAAUGAUAGUUCUGUAAGGAGGACUUCAUGGGAGUUAAAUCAUCUCUAUAAAUACAUAUUCUAAUAUGCCACUAUAUUCCUCAAUAAGGAAAUAGAAUCUACCAUAGAGCAGAUUGGAUUCUCAGUGGCUAGAAUCAGGGAGAAGGGAACUAACCCCACCCUGUGCACACACACAGACUGCCGAUCCUAAUAGUGCCCCCAACUGAACCCAUUUACCUUUCCCCCAUUUGACUGGAUGGUUUCAGUCUUAGGAGACGAAUAUAAAACACUGCAGUGGGAGGCCAAAAUCUACCUUCUACCCCCUCCCCCCAUAUUUGAUAACCUGGUCCAAAUUUAUGGAAUUUUUGCAAUGAGGGUGCAAUGUGUCUGUCUCAUGUGCAGAGGAAUUAUAUACUUUCUGCUGUAUGCUUGGAGUGCUACACAUAGUAGUAGGUUAGAUGUUUUUCAUAUCACUCUGUUGUGAUGCUCACUGUAAAGUGAAGAACCUUACAGGAAAAGGGUAUUCCAGCACCUCAGAGGGCAGCAUCUGAGCCAGUCAGUCUGAUUGCCAGUUAUGCCGAGGCCACAUUGUGCUUUUCUGGCAAGGUAAAGAGAAGUUGGCCCUCUCCCAUCCCAAGAGUAUUUCCUGAACAGAUGUCGUCAACAUUUGCUAUGGCAUUAGGCCUAGACUUGUCUGGCAAGCAAGUCUGACUUGGACAGUUCAAGUUUGUGCUGUUUGCUACCUGCCAUGAAACUCUAAACCAGUGACAACUCUCGUGGGUGGCCCAAGUGGGAUCUGUCAAGCCUCAGCUUCUCCAUCAACCCCUCCUGCCGGAUGAGAAGCAGUCAGAAUGUUAUUGAGACUAGCGAGCAACAUUUCAUUUCCACAAUGCUGAUAGGUUUUUAUUAUUAUUAUUUCGUUUAUUUAUUCAAAGGAUUUAUAGCCUUUCUUUUGAGAAUGUGCUCCACAAAGUGGCAGGCAACAUAUCUGAAGAUAUAAACUUAAUAAAUCAUCAUCAUCUAUGAAAAUAUUAAACCCAAAACAAGCACAGAGAUAAAAAUAAAAUUUAAAAAAUCCACCAGACCCUUGUGUAACACCUCCUAUUUAUAUUAAUCAUUAAAUGUCAUCAACAAAAAAUGAGUCUUCAAAGCCCACUAAAGGGACAUAAAUAUUUAAUUUCAGAGGAACGGAGUUGCGGGGUCACCAAAGAGAAGGCCCUGCAAUGAAUGUUCACUUUUAUUUAUUUGUUUACUGUAUUUAUUGCACUUAUAUACAGUACUGUCUUCCUGCCAAGACGCUUAAGCAAGCCAUCUGACAUGGAUCUCAGCAUAAUUUUUGAAUCUGAAAAAAUAUCUGCUCCCUCAGGCGGUUGAGUGAAGUUGCUGGUUUCCCCCGCAGCCCUCCUUUGUGCUACCUUCCAUACUCUUCUGGAGGGUCUCCCACCCUCUGGAGCAGACUUUUUUCAAGGGUGCGGGUAGUCUGCAGCAGGGAAGAGGAAUUGCAAAAAGCCACUUCCCCUUCUCUUAGGUUUGUGGACAUCUCCUUUGGAUUAAAAGCAAUUCCAUAAAUAGGACAGGUAGCUACGUAAUAUUCCCCCCCAAGGCUUUUCUGCUUAUCCUCAAAUGCCAGCAAGUACUCGUCUGUAGAUGUUCAAAACACUAAAAAUCAUUAGAAAAGUUUAAAAUCUUGUUUGGGUGCAUUUUCUAGGAAAGACCAGUAUUUCACGACUCCUUCUAGACCUCUCCUUGCCGUGUGUUUUUAUUUAUUUUUAAUGUAUUUGCUGCCUCAUCAAAAGUUGAUAAGGUAGACUAUAUUUCCUAGUUUAACGUAUUCAAUUUUUACAAUAUACUAGUAUGACACUCUCUCACACAAAAGCCAGCUGCCUUACUUCCUACUACGGAGAAAAUUGUGGGAAAUUCACAGGAGGGAAAUUCUCAUAUAGAAGGUAAAAAUCAGAAAGCAGAACAGAAAUUGUAGCUCAUUUCCUCCCUGUUACAAAAGAAGAGCCUGCUGGAUCAGGCCAAUGGCCAAUCUAGUACAGUGGUACCUCAGGUUACAGACACUUCAGGCUACAGACGCUUCAGGUUACAGACUCCACUAACCCAGAAAUAGUACCUCGGGUUAAGAACUUUGUUUCAGGAUGAGAACAGAAAUCGUGCUCCAGCAGCGUGGCGGCAGCAGCGGGAGGCCCCAUUAGCUAAAGUGGUACCUCAGGUUAAGAACGGACCUCCAGAACGAAUUAAGUUCUUAACCUGAGGUACCACUGUAUAGGAUCCUGUUCUCACAGGGGCCUAUGGAAAACCGACAAGCAGGACCCAAGCAGACGAGCACUCACCUGUGGUUUCUGGUGUUCAGAAGCCUUUUGCCUCUGACUGCUGAGACCUUGUUACCUUUCCCAGAUAUAUUAUUAUAAGAAAGCACAAAUCAGUGAAAUAAUGGACACAGUGUAAGAUCAAAGAAAGUGUUGCUCAAGGGAGUUGCUUGGUUACUCCAAAACCAUAUUUUUCUCACAUAUAAUGGGAAUUACUUGAGAAUCCACCUUUUAAACUGAAAUACUGCACAUAAUGCAUGAUGGACUUUGCAGCUUCCUCCACCCUCUUGUGUAAAGUCAAUUUGGAAUGCAGUUUUCUAUCCUGUUUCCUCAAUUUUCAGGCCAGAUUGGGAGAUUGGCUCAUGAUGGUAGUCAUCUUACAUUUCCUCCAGAACUGAAAGAUAACAAUUUACUGACACCUGGACCUUGACAGUAUCCUGCUUCUGAAAAUCAAAGCUCAGCUCACAAGGCAGAUCUGCAAACAUAUCCCCCCCCCAAAAAAGUGCUAUGGGGCAGCCUCCCCACAGAAUCAUUAGCCCUGGCACCAGAUUCCAAAGGAUCCAGAAUUUGAAACAGCCCUGGCAGUGUAACAUCACCUUGGCUUAACUGAACUCUAUUUAUUUUUUCAUACGAAUAGAAUAUUCUGAACUCUGCUCAGUUUCCUAGCAUCGUCAGAAGCACAAAUAAACAAUUCACUUCACAUUAGUUUUAUAUCAAUUCAUAUUUAAGGACUGAAUCAGCUGCCAGGCGACUGACUUGAGAACACUGUAGCGGCAAUUCAUAUAUACAGAGCACAAAUAUAACAGAAAGGAACAAUGUCAGCUCACAUUAACAAUAGGAACGACCCAAUGAUCCUAAUUUAAACAUAUAUGUUAAUAUAAGCAGUCCAUAUGUCCAAAUACAUAACCAACUGAGGCUGGCAAUGGUAAGAUGUAUGUAUUGCAUUUGCAAAUCUUUAACUUGAUAUCUGAUGGCUACAGCCCCUUUCCCUAAUAUAGAAGAAAGGGGGUUGCCAGCUUUGGACCUUUAGAGCAACUGGAUCUGCAACCAUUAGCAGAUUAUUACAUUUGCUUCUACACUAGCCAUUUUCUUUGGAAUUUGCCAUCCUUUGAUUGCUCACUUGCUUUGAAGACUCCAGAUGAUGAGACUGCCAAGCUAUUGCAGUCUGGUGUUUCCUGCGUGUUUUCCUCCCUCUUUCCCUAGACCUAGUUCGUGGCUAUGUUUUUUUUCUGGCUUUAAAUGCAGUGCAUUCAAAAUAAUUUUCCUCAGUGUCUCAGAGCAAUGCGUCAGAUAUUGGGAGUGUUUAAAUGGUGGGUCAUAGCUGCUCACUGCCAGCCUGUGCUAGCGCACCCUCCAACAUUUCUCUGAUGAAAAUAGGAAACUACAUCAGGAAACUUCUCCCACAUUUGAACCCUGUCGCACGCAUAGACAUCAUAUACACAUUGGACACCUUGAGCCAAUUGCAACCUCUCUGCCAAACGUACCUCACAGAAUUGUUGUAAAGGAAAAAUGUGUGAGGGAAGGGAUUGUGUGCAACACCUUCCACAGAUAAAUGGAAUGAAAUAAGAUUUUAGCUGUAAGCUGCCUUGAGUCCCUGUCAGGGAAAAAGGAAGGAAAUAAUAAUAAUAAUAAUAAUAAUAAUAAUAAUAAUAAUAAUAUAUUUGCAACAACAACUGUGAGAAUGAACAGGAACAUACUAGAGAGCAACUCCUAUUGAACUCAGUGGGACUUAGUUCUGAGUAAAAAUGUUUAGGAUUGCAGUAUAAGAGUGCCCAGUCUUGGCCCAGUUACCUGGAAGUACGUUCCAUUGAAUACAUUGGGACUUACUUACGAGUAGACAGUGUAAGGCUCCAUUUACAAUAAAGGAAUAAACACUCCAUGCGUUUCCUUUAAAAAUGGCUGGCUGCAUUGCAAUUAUAGAAUUUAAAGUGGAUUGGUGACAUUUUCCUUCGAAAUUUAUAGGAAGGGCUUUGUGUGCCAGCUUCACCAUUUCCUUCAGCUGUUUUAUUUUCAGGAUAAAUAUGACUCCAUUUUUGUACUUGAAAAACACACACACACACACACACACACACACACCAUUUUUCAUUGUUCUCUGAGACAUGGGGGGGGGGGGAGGAAAACCUGGACAUUCUGGGAUCAAAUCAGAAACCAGGAUGGCUUCUGUAAUUCUGGGUCUGUCCCUGGAAAAUAGGGGCACUUGGAAGGUAUGUGCUAGUGGACUUUGGUGUGGGCUGUGGCCCUUUCAGCUGCCCUAGGGGGUAGGAGCUGGGGUGAAGCCUGCUGGAACCUGAUAUUCACUGAAAACAUUUAUGUCCUUAAUCUUCUUACAGCUCAUCUCCUCAGUCCUGGUCACACUGAGCUCAUUCAGAUCCUCAUCUCCCCAAUUAUGCACCAGCAUAUUCCUAAUUAUGGAGCCCAGCUGGCUUCCGAUUUCCAUCUCUCCCAGACUGAAGCCAGGG